AUUUUACCAAUAAAAAAUGAGGAAAAAUUUAGGAAAAAGGUUGCAUUUAAAGUGAGAAAUUAUUACACAGAAUGUCUUACAUCCUCCCCCAAAAACGUUUUAUAAAUUGAUAAUAUGAAAGAUAUUUACACUAUCACGUAAUCUAAAAAUAGCUACAUAUAACCAUAAUCAAAUUGUUUAAACUAUUAGGUAUAUAGAAAAAACAAGGAGAGAGAGAUAGUAGUGCUGAUUAAUGAUGGAGUAUAUAGUACCUGAAGGAAAUUAGAUGCGGGCCACCCAUGCGGGUCAACCCGGAUCCAUGUCAAAAAAAUACUCCCUCCGUUUCAAUUUAUGUGAACAAUAUUUGACUGGACACGGAGUUUAAGAAAUAAGAGAGGACUUUUGAACUUGUUGUGUAAAAUGAGGCAUAUAUAUUUUGUGUGGCUAUAAAUCAUUGCAUAGAGGUAAAUUAUUUUUAAAUAUGGAAAGAAGUAAUUCUUUUUUGCACGGACUAAAAAAAAAUAGGUUCCCAUAAAUUGAAACGUGUAAGUUAAUAUAAGAAAAUAUAUAAUUAGUUAUAUAUUUAAUAUUAAUAAUAUGAGAAGAGACACAUCGGCAGGACUCUUCCUAAAAGUUGCGUCGGUUUUGUUCUAUAAAAAGGAGUUCCUUCCAUAGAACUCCUCCACAGUUUAUUCUCCCUUCUUUGUCAUCAGAAAGUUGCUUCUCCUUCUCCUCUCUCAAAAUUAUAAAGUGUUCCUGUGAAGAUUUCUUCUAUGAAAAUUUUGAAACGAACCUCUGUAACAAGUCAUUGCAGAAGGAAGUGCAUAUUGCAGGAGAAGCACAAACUGAUAUAAGGAAUCUGAUCCAACCAACCCCAAAUGGCGUGCAGCUUGGACAACACAAAUGCCUGAUAAUGGCAUUGCCACAUAACGUACUACCUGAAUUACCUCUAAGAAGAUUUGCUCCAACUAUCAAUGUCAUGGCUGGUAUUGCAGCCUCUCUGCAGCGCAUAACACGUAGCAUUGAGUGAGUUGUCAUA